UACGGGGGAUGCGAGCGUUAUCCGGAUUUAUUGGGUUUAAAGGGUGCGUAGGCGGCGCUUCAGGUCAGCGGUGAAAUACCGGGGCUCAACCCCGGCCCGCCGUUGAAACUGGCUGGCUUGAGUUGGGGAAAGGCAGGCGGAAUGCGCGGUGUAGCGGUGAAAUGCAUAGAUAUCACGCAGAACUCCGAUUGCGAAGGCAGCAUACCGGCGCCCGACUGACGCUGAAGCACGAAAGCGUGGGUAUCGAACAGG
rnacentral:rRNA from 1 species